rnacentral:lncRNA from 1 species
AGGGUGCUGGCCCCGCCUGGCGGCAGGUCUCAGAUCUCCUUCGGCUAAUCACACACUGGCGGUGUUGGACGCGUCGAUGUCAGUAUCUCACAAUGCGCAGGCUGCAGGAAGAAAACGCGGAAGCAUUGAAGCAAGACACCUUAACACGCUGAAUGACGGGAUGGCGUCAGUUGCUACGCUGCGUACUACUCGGUUGCUGCGUGCGGGGGGAGUGUGCAGGAGAGUCUAUUGCUUGUCUAUGUGCUUGCUUUGCCGUCCUUUUGCUUUGGUUUUGUGGUAUAUAGACGUCGUGCAUGUUCAAUGUUGUGUACCUUGUUGGCGUGCGCAAACUUGCAGGCGUUAAGCCUAAACCCCCUAGGCCUCUUUCGUUCGGAUACAAGUCCACGUUGCUUAAGCUCAUGUGAUAAGCAGGCACUUAGUGCAGCGAAUCAACCAACGUGCAAAUUACAAACUCGUUCUGAUUGUAGUUGGAUAUUUGCUUCCGAUUAUGCACCGCGGCUUGGGUCAUGUGGUUUGCAGGACUGUAUGCGAGAGUCAAAUGUUCAUAGGAUGUCCGGUCUGUUGGUAAAGCUGGUCUGUAUGAGGAGUCGCAUUUGUUGUUGUGGAUCUGUCGUCUGGUAUGAUAGCACAGUUAUUGCAAGCCUUGUGAAGCACAAGUACACUGGCGGCGGACCCGAAAGCCUUCGGAUGCAAACCAAACGAUGAGGGGUCGUUUAGUGAGAGAUUACUAUUGGGGCAUGAGUAAGCAUAUGGACUGCAGAGAAAGCGCGCC